GAAGGUAAGACUCGAUAGACGAUAGUUGCUGGAAUGCGCAAUCGUCCAAAGUUAGGAUUGGGCUGCGGCUGAUUAGGUUGUUGGCGGGGUAAUGGCCCACCAAGCCGAUAAUCAGUAAGGGCUCUUAGCGGAGAAGCCCUGAGAGGGAAUCUGAGACACUAUUCCCAGCCCUACGGGGUGCAGCAGUCGGGAAAAUUCUGCAAUGCGCGCAAGCGUGACAGAGCAAGCCAGAGUGGUUUCAUAUAAUUUGAAACCUUUUGUGAGAUGUAAAAAGUCUUUCGAAUAAGGACUGGGUAAGACUGGUGCCAGCCGCCGCGGUAAUACCAGCGGUCCAAGUAGCAGCCACGUUUAUUGGGUCUAAAACAUCCGUAGCUCGCUUCGUCAGUCUCUUGUAAAAUCUGGCCUCUCAAGGGUCAGGCGGGCAAGAGAUACUGCGAAGCUAGGGACCGGGAGACGUGAAGAGUACGCAUCGGGUAGCGGUUAAAUGCGUUGAUCCAAUGUGGACUAACGAUAGCGAAGGCACUUCACGAGAACGGAUCCGACAGUGAGGGAUGAAGGCUAGGGGCGCAAAACGGAUUAGAUACCCGUGUAGUCCUAGCAGUAAACCCUGCACACUAAACAUC
rnacentral:rRNA from 1 species